rfam:Triticum aestivum genome assembly, contig: Triticum_aestivum_CS42_TGACv1_scaffold_608796_7DL
CAAAUACUCCCUUCGUCCGGAAAUACUUGUCAUCAAAAUGGAUAAAAAGAGAUGUAUCUAAAAUAGUUUUAGAUACAUCUCUUUUUAUCCAUUUUGAUGACAAGUAUUUUCGGACGGAGGGAGUAGAAA